AAUCAACGCUGGCGGCGUGCCUCAGACAUGCAAGUCGAACGAUUAAAGCUCUCUUCGGAGAGUGCAUAGAGUGCGCACGGGUGAGUAACACGUAAGUAAUCUACCUUCGAGUGGGAAUAACGUCCGGAAACGGACGCUAAUACCGCAUAAUGCAGCGGCAUCGCAAGAUGACAGUUGUUAAAGGAGCAAUUCGCUUGAAGAGGAGCUUGCGGCAGAUUAGCUAGUUGGUAAGGUAAUGGCUUACCAAGGCUACGAUCUGUAACCGGUCUAAGAGGACGGUCGGUCACACUGACACUGAAUAACGGGUCAGACUCCUACGGGAG
rnacentral:rRNA from 1 species